GUGGGGAAUAUUGGACAAUGGGCGAAAGCCUGAUCCAGCAAUGCCGCGUGAGUGAUGAAGGCCUUAGGGUUGUAAAGCUCUUUUACCCGGGAUGAUAAUGACAGUACCGGGAGAAUAAGCUCCGGCUAACUCCGUGCCAGCAGCCGCGGUAAUACGGAGGGAGCUAGCGUUGUUCGGAAUUACUGGGCGUAAAGCGCACGUAGGCGGCUUUGUAAGUUAGAGGUGAAAGCCUGGAGCUUAACUCCAGAACUGCCUUUAAGACUGCAUCGCUUGAAUCCAGGAGAGGUGAGUGGAAUUCCGAGUGUAGAGGUGAAAUUCGUAGAUAUAGGAAGGAACACCAGUGGCGAAGGCGACUACCUGGACUGAUACUGACACUGAGGUGCGAAAGCGUGGGGAGCAAACAGGAUUAGAAACCCUAGUAGUCC
rnacentral:rRNA from 1 species